rnacentral:rRNA from 1 species
UACGAAGGGGGCUAGCGUUGCUCGGAAUCACUGGGCGUAAAGCGCACGUAGGCGGCUUUUUAAGUCGAGGGAUGAAAUCCUGGAGCUCAACUCCAGAACUGCCUUUGAUACUGAGAAGCUUGAGUCCGGGAGAGGUGAGUGGAACUGCGAGUGUAGAGGUGAAAUUCGUAGAUAUUCGCAAGAACACCAGUGGCGAAGGCGGCCGACUGGUCCGGUUCUGACGCUGAGGCGCGAAAGCGUGGGGAGCAAACAGG